CUUGAACUUCCUACCCUAAUGCUGGCCUUUUUGUCCCCUCUCAACCCCUACCCUCCUGUAGGAUUGAAAGGCAAGAGCUCCCAGCACAACAGCUUUGGCCUUACUCGCUCCUGAUUUCUGGGACAGACAAAUUACUCUUCUGGAAUCCUUGAAUUUCAGGAGCCAUUACAAGCAGGGAAGUCCAUUUGGUUCCCAGAAACUCCUACCUCCUGUGUCCCAUUACUGGAAGAUUCAGCUCAAGCCCAGGUCCUGCAGGGACAUCCCAAUUUCCUGCCCACAACUUACUGUACCAUCUUCUGGACCAUUUCUUUCUUGACGGUUCACAUUGGAAUGGCUGAAGGCCAGCUUGUGUCUGCUUCUCUCUGGUUUCUCUUCCCUCUCCUUUCUCUCGACCCAACAGAGUCCUGAGUCUUCUCAACAUGUUGAUGGCUGAACUGUAAGGGCACUGAACCAACUGUCCAAAGGCAGUUGGUGUUGCUACCACACAGGUGACAUCAGAUAACAUUCUAAAGUCUCCAGGAUACAAUAGAAUGUCCAGGCAUGAGACACCCCUGAUGUCAUGGGGAACUGACAUUGCCUCCCUGCUAACCAGAUCUCCUCAUCACUCUUCAGAAGUCAGGUUUCCCAUUCUAGGAAUCUCUCCUGGGACUCAAGAGAAAUGCUUCAGUACCCUUUUGUUCCAUAGCCAGAGGUUGCUCUCUGAUUUUUUGGAAAUUCCUCAGUACUUCCAUGUGGGAAUGAAAGGGACAACAUGACCUCAAUACAGGAUUUGGGAAGGCUCUGAUCAGUCUGGAGGAGGCAGGAAGUUCCUGACACCCUGGAUAUCUACAGUUGCUGGUCUAUAACCAGGACCAGUGAUUUUUCAUUUGAUGUCUUUCUUCCACAAGACUUAGUAACAGGUCAAAUGGUUUUUACCUGGGAAGCAC